AGAGGAAGAACACUAACGAUAACAAUAGGUGUCUACGCCCCUUGUGGGCUUGACCCCUAAUAAUAAGAACACUAACGAUAACAAUAGGUGUCUACGCCCUUUGUGGGCUUGACCCCUAAUAAUCACAAAUUAUUUCACUUUCCUGUUAAUUUUAGUAUGGUUUGUCCCUAAACAAUCACAGAUAUAAAAUACUUCAUGUUCUAUUUUUGUUCUGAGAAAGUGAUUUAAUGUGUUUCUUCUUUGGUCAGUGCGGUUUAUUAAAAAUAAGAUCCUAUUAAUAUGUAAACUGGUGUACAUCAACAUUUAUUAAUUGUCUGAUUGAUGUCAUGAGCAGAACUUUGUCAUGUUCUUUAAGUCUAUAAGUCUAUCAUUAGAGGAUCCUCAGUGUCUAGUGUGAACAUCUUUAACUUUAUUCAGAUAUCUGGACGAGAUGAUGGCGUCUUCUUGUAAAGUGAGUGAAGCCACAGAGAAAAGGCGAGGACAGAACCAGAGCAGGACUCCUGCUGGAACUCGGAGAACAUUAACACGUUGCGGUUGUUUUUAUCCUGAUGAUCUUCAGAGCAUGACCAGGAUGGUCAGCACUAGCUUCAAAAUAAAACCAAGCACCGCAAUUCCCAAAAAAAAUUAAAUUUUCCCUGUCCACGUCUGUGCAUUC